rnacentral:tRNA from 1 species
GGUGCUCAUGGGGCGGGUGCUGGCCUUUUUGGUGUUUAAGGUACCUAAAGAGCGCCCCGUAUUUGCCGAAGGCAUGGGCUCGGUGGCCCUCUGCGUGCUG